CCCAUGUGCUGAACCUGAAGAGCAGGUUCCAGCGCUGGUUGUAUUCUUGCAGCAAAGGCUGCAAAUCAGACAGCUGCCAAGGGGUGACCUCUGAGGCACACAGAAGUGACGUGGCAGGGAUCAGAUGGAACUGCUGGUGUAGGAGCGCUCCAACUCAGACUGUCCUGAAGGUUUUUCUGUGUGCUGAAGUUUCACCCAAAGGGGACAAGUGUAAAAUCCAAACAGGAGUUCAAAUCUGAAUCUUGAGAUGUCUUCCUCUGCAGUGGGCCACACUAGCCACGUAUGACAAUAUCCCACCUGGUGAAGUUUAGACACAGCAAACCCUUUGGAACCCUGAUCCUCUCCUGACUGUAAAAUGCUAAGUGUGAGCCAGCAAGGUGUUUGUAUUUGAGUCUUGACUUUUCAUGUAUUACU